CGAACAAGUCAGCCUAGUUUACUGGCAACUCAUGCUGGUAGAGCGGGGAAACCACCAAAGGGGCGUAUUUCCAAGUUCUGUAUACCCAAUUGAGGGUACUUGGAGAAGGACAUCUCUCAGUCCUAGCCCGUCAGCUAACCUCGUCGGCCUUGAGAGGAGACUGA
rnacentral:sRNA from 2 species